rnacentral:lncRNA from 1 species
UCUGCACUGCAUGGCCGCUGCUGCUGCUCCACCACCAGCAGCGCAGUACUCUCGCUCUGUGCCCUUCAAAGUGAAAUCUGUGCAAUCUUGUUUGAAUAUUUAUUUUAUUUAAUUUUUUUAUCUAUUUAUUAUGACUUAUUUUAUUAUUUGAGAUGAGAUACUUUAAUAACAACUUAUUUAUUUUAUAGUUUAUAAAAAAGUUAAAUAAGACAAAUGGACUGAGGUAGUACACAUGUGCCUUGUUUAGUUUCCAAAAAAUUUUGCAAAAUUUUUCACAUUUCCCGUC